rnacentral:rRNA from 1 species
CCUACGGGAGGCUGCAGUGGGGAAUAUUGGGCAAUGGAGGAAACUCUGACCCAGCAACGCCGCGUGAAUGAUGAAGGUCUUCGGAUUGUAAAGUUCUUUUCUAAGGGAAGAAGAAAGUGACGGUACCUUAGGAAUAAGCCUCGGCUAACUACGUGCCAGCAGCCGCGGUAAUACGUAGGAGGCAAGCGUUAUCCGGAAUGACUGGGCGUAAAGGGUGCGUAGGUGGUUCAGCAAGUUAGUAGCGUAAUUCCGGAGCUCAACUUCGGCACUACUACUAAAACUGUUGGACUUGAGUGCAGGAGGGGCAACUGGAAUUUGUAGUGUAGCGGUGGAAUGCGUAGAUAUUAGGAAGAACACCGGUGGCGAAGGCGAGUUGCUGGACUGUAACUGACACUGAGGCACGAAAGCGUGGGGAGCAAACAGGAUUAGAUACCCUAGUAGUC